rnacentral:rRNA from 1 species
UAGGGAAUCUUCCGCAAUGGGCGAAAGCCUGACGGAGCAACGCCGCGUGAGUGAUGAAGGUCUUCGGAUCGUAAAACUCUGUUAUUAGGGAAGAACAAAUGCGUAAGUAACUAUGCACGUCUUGACGGUACCUAAUCAGAAAGCCACGGCUAACUACGUGCCAGCAGCCGCGGUAAUACGUAGGUGGCAAGCGUUAUCCGGAAUUAUUGGGCGUAAAGCGCGCGUAGGCGGUUUUUUAAGUCUGAUGUGAAAGCCCACGGCUCAACCGUGGAGGGUCAUUGGAAACUGGAAAACUUGAGUGCAGAAGAGGAAAGUGGAAUUCCAUGUGUAGCGGUGAAAUGCGCAGAGAUAUGGAGGAACACCAGUGGCGAAGGCGACUUUCUGGUCUGUAACUGACGCUGAUGUGCGAAAGCGUGGGGAUCAAACAGG